UACGUAGGGGGCAAGCGUUGUCCGGAUUCAUUGGGCGUAAAGAGCUCGUAGGCGGCUUGGGCAAGUCGGGUGUGAAACCUCCAGGCUCAACCUGGAGACGCCACCCGAUACUGCCAUGGCUAGAGUCCGGUAGGGGACCACGGGAAUUCCUGGUGUAGCGGUGAAAUGCGUAGAUAUCUGGAGGAACACCGGUGGCGAAGGCGGCAUCCUGGACCGACACUGACACUGAGGAGCGAAAGCCAGGGAGCAAACGG
rnacentral:rRNA from 1 species